CUAGUCUCUUUUGAGAUUGCAUUGUGUGGAAGAAGAAAAGCCAAGUAAAUUGUUGAGGAAAAAAUAAGAAAAAAAAAUCUCUAACCAUACGCCACAACAGCCUCACUCUACCUCCCCCAAUUCAUUCUUUCUCCUCGCAUACUGACAGACGCAGCCUCCAUUUCAUUUUUCAGUCUUGGUCUCAACAUCUCUCUUUCUUGCUCUCCUCGUGGCCGUCCUCUCGUCUGCUUCUUGCCUUUCACGUCAGCUCGUCGCCUUCCUCAUCAGCUCGUCGUCCAUGUACUUGUCCUCGUCGAUUAUGUCUCAGAGACCCAAAUUCACUAUCGAUCCGGCCUCUGGCUUAUAGUUAGUGUCGGCUUGCACUUUGCGACGAAAACAGAUCGACUUUGCAACAAAUAUUAGACUUCCUUCUCCUUGCAUGUUGGCCUGUUGGGUUUUGAAUUUUUUGUUCAUUCUGUUCAUUAUUAGAUUGUUUAGUUUGUUGCUUGUUAAUUGAUAUGAAAGUGUCUCUGAAUUGCUGUGAAAGUGUAACUUUAGGGAGAGUAGGAAAUUUUGUGAUUUUUCUGACAUAGAGUGUUUGGUUAGAGAGAAACGGAGAGAAAAAAAAUUGAAAACCGAAAUUAAAAUCUAGAAGAACGUGUGGCGGAAAUUGAAUUUAGAAAAAAUUAAAUAAAAAAUUAAAUUUCAUAUUAGUUGUGACCCACUUGAAAACGAUAUAAUCGUAACUUCAACUAUUUUUAAUGAAUUAAAAAAAUUUUAAAAAUUAUAAUUUAUAAAAUUCCA
rnacentral:misc_RNA from 1 species